AUCCGGAUAGGGCCAUGCAGUUCACUAUCGCAUCAUCGCACCAUCGAGGUUUGAGUCGAUAGUGCGAUGACGCGAUAAUGCGAUGACGAUGAAGCGAUGGUGCGAUAACGAUGAAGCGAUGAUGCGAUGGCACGACAAUGCGAUGACGAUGAUGCGAUGGUACGAUGAAGCGAUAGCGCGAUGACGCGAUGGCACGAUAGCGAUGGUGCGAUAGCGAUGAUGCGAUGGCGCGAUAGUGAUGACGCGAUGCUAUAUCGUGUCAUCGUUAUUGCUUUAUCGCACUAUCGUCAUCGUGUCAUCGCACUAUCGCUCUAUCGACUAGUACUUUCUAUAACCGGAUGACAUUCCCAGCAGUCAUUGCACAACAUGGCGUUUGUUGACGAAAAGAUUCAAGAAUAUUUCUUCAACGGAUACGAUAAUAAAGAAAUCAUAUUCCUUCUUUGGAGUAAUUAUGGUGUGAAAAUAAGCUGUAGACAUUUGAAAAGACGCAUGACCAGACUUAAUUUGAGAAGACGGAGAUCAUACAAUGUGGAUAUGGCAAUAAGGGCUAUUCAGGAAGAAAUGAUGUUCAGUGGACAGAUUCUUGGGUGUCGUUCGAUGAAACGAAGGC